GGGUUGUGAGGUUAAGCGACUAAGCGUACACGGUGGAUGCCCUGGCAGUCAGAGGCGAUGAAGGGCGUGCUAAUCUGCGAUAAGCGCCGGUAAGGUGAUAUGAACCGUUAUAACCGGCGAUACCCGAAUGGGGAAACCCAGUGUGAUUCGUCACACUAUCAUUAACUGAAUCCAUAGGUUAAUGAGGCGAACCGGGGGAACUGAAACAUCUAAGUACCCCGAGGAAAAGAAAUCAACCGAGAUUCCCCCAGUAGCGGCGAGCGAACGGGGAGGAGCCCAGAGCCUGAAUCAGCAUGUGUGUUAGUGGAAGCGUCUGGAAAGGCGCGCGAUACAGGGUGACAGCCCCGUACACAAAAGCGCAUGUGUUGUGAGCUCGAUGAGUAGGGCGGGACACGUGGUAUCCUGUCUGAAUAUGGGGGGACCAUCCUCCAAGGCUAAAUACUCCUGACUGACCGAUAGUGAACCAGUACCGUGAGGGAAAGGCGAAAAGAACCCCGGCGAGGGGAGUGAAAAAGAACCUGAAACCGUGUACGUACAAGCAGUGGGAGCCCCACCACUAAGCCAGUGGUGAACUCCACAUACGCAUCCUUUGCUGAGGAUACGGUUAACGGAGCGAAAGCGACGUUCAACCGCAAAAGAAGCAGAGGGGGCUUAGUGGUGGGGUGACUGCGUACCUUUUGUAUAAUGGGUCAGCGACUUAUAUUCUGUAGCAAGGUUAACCGAAUAGGGGAGCCGGAGGGAAACCGAGUCUUAACCGGGCGUUAAGUUGCAGGGUAUAGACCCGAAACCCGGUGAUCUAGCCAUGGGCAGGUUGAAGGUUGGGUAACACUAACUGGAGGACCGAACCGACUAAUGUUGAAAAAUUAGCGGAUGACCUGUGGCUGGGGGUGAAAGGCCAAUCAAACCGGGAGAUAGCUGGUUCUCCCCGAAAGCUAUUUAGGUAGCGCCUCGUGAACUCAUCUCCGGGGGUAGAGCACUGUUUCGGCUAGGGGGCCAUCCCGGCUUACCAACCCGAUGCAAACUGCGAAUACCGGAGAAUGUUAUCACGGGAGACACACGGCGGGUGCUAACGUCCGUCGUGAAGAGGGAAACAACCCAGACCGCCAGCUAAGGUCCCAAAGUCAUGGUUAAGUGGGAAACGAUGUGGGAAGGCCCAGACAGCCAGGAUGUUGGCUUAGAAGCAGCCAUCAUUUAAAGAAAGCGUAAUAGCUCACUGGUCGAGUCGGCCUGCGCGGAAGAUGUAACGGGGCUAAACCAUGCACCGAAGCUGCGGCAGCGAACGUAUCACCCAAGACAACUUUGCGGAGUUGACGAUUGACGGAGCGAAGCGACGUCAAAGCGUUCAUUAAAGUCGAGUUGGCUUA
rnacentral:rRNA from 1 species